CCGUCCUUUCUGCCUGCCGCCGCGCCCGGCGUGCUUCGUCUCGUGUUGUCACACCGCGUAUCCGCGCCCUUCUCCCGCUGUCACCGCCUGUGCCACGCCGCCACCACCCUGUUACGCGGCAAGCCUGCCUCUCGAGUGUGCGGGAUGGUGAGCGCGACACAGGAGCCGGGCCUGCGGGCUUGGGGGGACUUGGGCCGCACGCGCAGAUUCGGGGGCUCGAGGCCACGGGGCCGCGCCUUUCUCCCGCCUCGGCCGGCACAGCCCUGCGCUCCCAUCUGACCGGUGAGUAACGCUGGGAAGCGGCCGGGUGCCCAGAACAGGGUGAAGGGGCUGCGUGGUGGUCGUCAGUCAGACCUGGACUGGAGUUACUGGGUGACUUUGGGCAAGUGACUUUGGGUGAGUUUUCUGACUGCACGACACACGUUAACGAGGCUGCUUUGGAGGACAGAAGGACGUUUUCGAAUUCCAGCUCUGCUACUUUGAACCUUGCUAGAUAACCUUCGGCAAGUCAAUUGGUCUAAUCUUAAUCGUAAAAACGGUGGUGAUGAAAUGGUCUAGUAAAGAGUGUAUGAAACAAAGCGUGCAAAAACACUUGCACAGCCCCUGGUUGGUACAUAGUAAUAAAAUCUUCAUAAAUGGAAACAGUGGCAAUUAGGGCUACAAGGCUAUUGGUUUUUUUUUUUUUUUUUCUUUUUAGCCGGAACGUUCUAGAUCAGUUUCAGUAGGCAGUACACAACUGAGGUGGAUGUAAGAUGGCGGAACAGCAGUUUGGGUGUGGGCCUGUCCUGUGACCUAGAUGCCCCCGUGGCCCUUAUCGAAGCUGCAGCUGCUUCCACAUAGCUGCUGUGGUCAAAAAGGAGCCCAGAGUGACAGUUUUCCUUGACGGUCGCCGUUCAGUUUGUAGUAACCGAUCUGCAACAUUUCAGGAAAAGACAGUUCUGCCAUUGUGCCUGUUUCUCAAAUAUGGUCAGGGAUCUUUAUUAAAAUUGGCGUGUUUCCGAAGCCAGCAGAAAUGUUGAUGGGGGCUUGCAUAUAAAGCUAGCUGAGUGGACUUUGUAAGCGGUACCUUGCCAAGACUAAGAGCCAAUGUCAAGGGGCAGCAGGCCGAACAUCUGUGUUGGGGGAGAUUCAGUGGCAUAUGGGAUCUCAGCAGUGCUUUGGGUUACUGGCCUGAAGCUGAAGGCAUCUGGACUAAAAAGAUGAAGCACACAGAAGUAGUAAAGGUCAAGUUAUGGAAAAUUUGUGGGUUGAUAGCUGAAAUGUAUAAUCAUGGGUACUUAAAAGUACUAUCACUUGGCUCCAACCUUUGUGUUACUGAGGACCAAAUAAAGGGAACACAAAGGUCAUUCUGGAUAAUUGUUCUCAUCCUAGCCAUGCCAAAUGAAGAUUCCAGGAUGACUGAAAUUGAUGAUCUUACUGGUGUAUGAGCACUGUUUAUGGAACCAGGAGCCACAUGACCUGAAUGUCCCUGUGUUUCCUGGCUGUGUUAACAAGUCUGAAGAUACCAACUUGUUGCUGGAGUUGUGCUUUAGAAUAAGAUCUUCAUUACUGGUAAAGUUGUGUCCAUCUGUAAUUAAAGAUCUACAGAGUUGGGAUUGAAGUGCUAUGGGAAGAACAGACACCAAGUUUAUAUGGAAAUAGCUCUGCAAGCAGACAGUCUUUUGGUUUUUAUUUAGUGCUCUAUCCUGGAUACCUGGCAGAGGUGACAAAUAAAAAACUGUAUGGAAAUGUGUUAAUCAUC